ensembl:lncRNA
GGGAAGUUCACCAGCCCACAGCCUUUUCUAGCGUCGUCCCCUCUUUUAACAGAGGACCAGGAGUGUGGUGUCGUAUUCCAUCAUUUUCCUAGAGCAUACUGCUUUGGUUUUGGGGAUACAGUGUUUUCAAAUGUGAAGGAUUGAAGAUACCACCCUCGGUUUGUAUGUUAAUUUCAGAGAAUGGAAGUUAUACUCGUACCUACCAUGAGGUAUGCUGUGAUUAUCAGACAGAGUGGCACAUCUGAAGUACUUUAAUCAGAAAAUGCUAUAGAAAAUGCUAAAGAAUGGUGAAGGAAGUCUCCUACUCAAGAAUGUGAGAAAUGGCAUCAAUCAUAGGGAUUCACAUGGCAGUGAAAGUUACAGGUAGGGUGUCCCAUUACUCUUUGCUUGAUCCAGUGUGUGAACCUGAGAACUAGCAGCCACAGAUGGAGCCACAAGGACCGCAUGGUAGGCCAGCACAUCCGAAAAGCACAGGGCCCUCUUCUAGCUUUACUGAUGGAAAUGAUGGGAGGCCAUUCACACUCAGGUGCAGUGUGGAGUUGGCUGUCACCGACAGUAUUUCACUAAUAGUUCAGGGGAAAACAAUGGUGAAAUAAAUCAGCCAAAGCCUACUGCUCGACUGCCAGCCCCCACAGUAUUAGGGUUUGCUAGGCAGAAAUGACAAACGUUGACAUUUUUUCAAGUCUACACUGGGAUUUGACUCAGAAUCAAGGUUUGUAACAGGCUGAGAGUGAUUCAUCAGUUCAUCUUUGCAGACAGAGGAGCAGUCUCUUGUUUCCUUGGAAACUUGGACCUGAGCAUAUGUAGCUCCAAGUGCAAACCCUCAUGUUUUCCAUUGAGCAGAUACAGGGUGAGUUUCUCAUGAGAGAUUCAAUAUGCUGUCUUAAGCAGAAGAAUCAAGACUAGGAGAGAAUUGUCAUAUUAAAAUCAGAUACCACAGACAUGGCUGGAUCUCACAAGAUGCAAUAAUUCAGAGGAAGAGAGACAAGAACUCUCAUAAUUUGGCCCUUCUGGGGUAAGCAAUUUCUUUCAUUUGCAUCAUUUAUUUUUCUGAAUUGAAAAGUUGAAUAUGCUUCUUCAAAUAUCUCUUUGAAUACAUUUAAAAUGAUUGAUGUUUACACCACUUACUCUUUGGGGAUCUUCACUAGCUAAAGUCAAGCACUAAGCUGCUAUUUCUGCAUAGCAACAUGUGAAAACCUAGGUAAAUUAAUAAUUGUCCUGGAAUAUUUAUGAUGUACAUGAAGUAAUGCUAGACUUUUUAGAAGAAUUCUUAAAGGUAGGAUAAUCCUUUGUUCCUGAAAUGUUCCCAGUGCUUCUUCCAGCUUGGGGCUUUGAAAUGCCCCAAACUUGACAUUUGCCCUUACCACGUUUAAGAGUGUGUUAGUCGCUCAGUUGUGUCUGACUCUCUGCAACCCCAUGGACUGUAGCCUGUCAGGUUCCUCUGUCCAUGGACUUUUACAGGCAAGAAUACUGGAGUGGGUUGCCAUUUCCUUCUCCAAUAGCACGUUUAAAAUGCCUACCAUUUCCUGCUACUACUAAUCACCCCUUUUGGGUCAUACUGGAUCCUCUCUGUACCUCCUUUCAAAUUUUCAUGUUUUCCCCAUUGUAAAUGAGGAAAUGGAUGAUCUGAGAACUUAAUUUGCCUGUGGCCACAGCAUUUUUUAAAUGGUGAGAAGUAGAACACAGGUCUAUCUGAGUUCAAAACCUGUACCUAUUUCUAUACACCUACUUUAUCUACUAUGAUAUAGCUGAGUAGAAAGAUAGAGUGCUCUGUUUAAUAAGUUUUAUCUUUUAUUAAUAAAACAGUACAGAUAUAUCAUUCAUAAUUUACAAACAGUUCAAAUAUUAGAAGGGGGGCAAGUGAGUGACAAGGAAGUAGGUUAUCAUCUCAGAGUGGGGAAAAAACUAAUUUUACAAGAGUAAGAGUCAAGGCCACUACAAAUUGCAUGGAAAUCACAUUAAGUUGUGUGCCCCUUUCAUGGGGUCUAUAAUUAGAGACCUAAGGACCACAUGUCCUUAGGACCAUAGCAUAGAGCUGAAGAGGUUUCUGCUUUUUUGUGAAAGAUGAUUUUGAAGCUCCCUAGCAGUUUUGAGACUGAAUUUGGACAACAGAGACCCAAAGUGAGUAAGAUUUACUCUUUGUUGGUUGAGAAGGUACUUCAAGUACCAUCAAGUACCCUUUUCAGUGUCUCAGGAACAUCACUGUGACCAUCAAUCACGAAUGCUGAGAUGAGAAGAAAUAUUGGAUUUCUGGCUAAAAGAAAAAAAUCAGAUAUAUUUUUUAUCCUCAAUUUUUUAAAGCUAUCUCUAGGACCCCAAAUUCCUUCUAUAUCAGAAGUCUGCAAACUUUCUCAUAAAGGGCCAGUUAGUAGAUAUAUAAGCUCUGUAAACCAUAUGGUCUCUGUCUCAACUACUUGACUCUGCAUUAUAGGGUGAAAGUGGCCAUAGGUAAUAUGUAAUGAACAUACUGAGAAUAGUUUUAUUUAUAAAAUCGUUUAGUAAUCCAGAUUUUUAAUUUUCCAACCCCUGCCCUAGUUUAAACAUCCUCCAAAUUAUCCUACAUGUUUUCUUCACUAGUGGCUAUACAAAAGUCUGAUCACAAAACCUAGUCACAAUGGUUUA